rnacentral:rRNA from 1 species
GAGUUUGAUCCUGGCUCAGGACGAACGCUGGCGGCGCGCCUAACACAUGCAAGUCGAACGAGCGAGAGAGAGCUUGCUUUCUCGAGCGAGUGGCGAACGGGUGAGUAACGCGUGAGGAGCCUGCCUCAAAGAGGGGGACAACAGUUGGAAACGACUGCUAAUACCGCAUAAGCCCACGGCUCGGCAUCGAGCAGAGGGAAAAGGAGCAAUCCGCUUUGAGAUGGCCUCGCGUCCGAUUAGCUAGUUGGUGAGGUAAUGGCCCACCAAGGCGACGAUCGGUAGCCGGACUGAGAGGUUGAACGGCCACAUUGGGACUGAGACACGGCCCAGACUCCUACGGGAGGCAGCAGUGGGGAAUAUUGCACAAUGGGGGAAACCUUGAUGCAGCGACGCCGCGUGGAGGAAGAAGGUCUUCGGAUUGUAAACUCCUGUUGUUGAGGAAGAUAAUGACGGUACUCAACAAGGGAGUGACGGCUAACUACGUGCCAGCAGCCGCGGUAAAACGUAGGUCACAAGCGUUGUCCGGAAUUACUGGGUGUAAAGGGAGCGCAGGCGGGAAGACAAGUUGGAAGUGAAAUCUAUGGGCUCAACCCAUAAACUGCUUUCAAAACUGUUUUCUUGAGUAGUGCAGAGGUAGGCGGAAUUCCCGGUGUAGCGGUGGAAUGCGUAGAUAUCGGGAGGAACACCAGUGGCGAAGGCGGCCUACUGGGCACCAACUGACGCUGAGGCUCGAAAGUGUGGGUAGCAAACAGGAUUAGAUACCCUGGUAGUCCACACCGUAAACGAUGAUUACUAGGUGUUGGAGGAUUGACCCCUUCAGUGCCGCAGUUAACACAAUAAGUAAUCCACCUGGGGAGUACGACCGCAAGGUUGAAACUCAAAGGAAUUGACGGGGGCCCGCACAAGCAGUGGAGUAUGUGGUUUAAUUCGACGCAACGCGAAGAACCUUACCAAGUCUUGACAUCCCUUGACGAACAUAGAAAUAUGUUUUCUCUUCGGAGCAAGGAGACAGGUGGUGCAUGGUUGUCGUCAGCUCGUGUCGUGAGAUGUUGGGUUAAGUCCCGCAACGAGCGCAACCCUUACUGUCAGUUACUACGCAAGAGGACUCUGGCAGGACUGCCGUUGACAAAACGGAGGAAGGUGGGGAUGACGUCAAAUCAUCAUGCCCUUUAUGACUAGGGCUACACACGUACUACAAUGGCGUUAAACAAAGAGAAGCAAGACCGCGAGGUGGAGCAAAACUCAGAAACAACGUCCCAGUUCGGACUGCAGGCUGCAACUCGCCUGCACGAAGUCGGAAUUGCUAGUAAUCGUGGAUCAGCAUGCCACGGUGAAUACGUUCCCGGGCCUUGUACACACCGCCCGUC